UGAUGAAAGUGAUGCAAAUGGUAUCAAGGAAGUUGUUCGUUCUGCUGUAGACUCGGUUUCACCAAAAACAAGAGCAAAUCCUGAAAACUGAGAAGAAAACGGAUCAAGAAGUCAGAAUCGUGGAGCCCGCCAUGCCCAGAUAGAUAACCUGGUAACACCCCCUUGGUUAAAAGGAAAGGAGCCUAGCUUGAGAGGGCAGAA